UACGUAGGGUGCAAGCGUUGUCCGGAAUUAUUGGGCGUAAAGAGCUCGUAGGCGGUCUGUCGCGUCGGCUGUGAAAACCCGGAGCUCAACUCCGGGCCUGCAGUCGAUACGGGCAGACUGGAGUUCGGCAGGGGAGACUGGAAUUCCUGGUGUAGCGGUGAAAUGCGCAGAUAUCAGGAGGAACACCGGUGGCGAAGGCGGCUUCUGGCCUAUAACUGACGCUGAGGCGCGAAAGCGUGGGGAGCAAACAGG
rnacentral:rRNA from 1 species